AACGCGAAGAACCUUACCUGGGUUUGACAUGCACAGGACGCCGGCAGAGAUGUCGGUUCCCUUGUGGCCUGUGUGCAGGUGGUGCAUGGCUGUCGUCAGCUCGUGUCGUGAGAUGUUGGGUUAAGUCCCGCAACGAGCGCAACCCUUGUCUCAUGUUGCCAGCACGUAAUGGUGGGGACUCGUGAGAGACUGCCGGGGUCAACUCGGAGGAAGGUGGGGAUGACGUCAAGUCAUCAUGCCCCUUAUGUCCAGGGCUUCACACAUGCUACAAUGGCCGGUACAAAGGGCUGCGAUGCCGCAAGGUUAAGCGAAUCCUUUUAAAGCCGGUCUCAGUUCGGAUCGGGGUCUGCAACUCGACCCCGUGAAGUCGGAGUCGCUAGUAAUCGCAGAUCAGCAACGCUGCGGUGAAUACGUUCCCGGGCCUUGUACACACCGCUCGCGA
rnacentral:rRNA from 1 species